AAAAGCGCCCAAAACUUGACCCACCCCUUUCAGCUCUCCAACCCAGCUAUUCAUUAGUUGACCUGACUCAAUCUAGGUCACAAGAGAGGGUAGCGUUCCAGACGCUCUAACAUUUUCCCAAAGAAGAUAACAGCAGCAGAUGUGUGAACCCCACUUCGGAUCCCCGACGCACCCUUUCAUCCCACGCGAGCGCGCGUCGACGGAAAGCCAUCUGGAUACACUGUGAUUUCACUGCGUGAAAUGGAAGAUGAAGGACUGUCAGGCAUUCUAUUUCUUCUUGAUUUUCUGGAGCAGAUUGGUACGACGAACAGAUAGAGGUGGCUAAAUCUCAUUGUGUGUUCGUCCUUGCGAAGAAAUUAGACGCCACAGAUUGUUUGGCCGCUAGGCAACUGUACAAUUUCGCGCAGGUCUCCAGCCAAUAACUUUGGAGUAUUUUCUUGAUUUAAAAUGAAAAGACUAAGGGGGGAAUCUCGAUCUUACCCCCAAUUCCAUUUUUCAAAACCCUAGUUUUUCUCCUAUAUAAGAUUCACUGUGAAAACAAGGGGGGGAUUUUUUUUUGAGGUUUUUGUUUUCUCUUGAGUCUUGAUUUUUUUUCUUAAAACAAAAGGAGAUUUUAUGAUAUAAAGGGUUCGAGCAAAUACUUCAUAAUUAGAGGAGAUCUUCGGAGGCAGAUUUUGGAAUAUUUCUUGUUUAUCUCUGUUAAAACAGAGUAAAAAUCUUUGGAUUGGGAUUUCAAAUUUCUUAAAAUGAGAUAUUGAGAACAUUAGGGAGGAAGCAACAUGAAGUCAGUAAGUCCAAAGGAGUGAUAUUGUUCCUGCUUUUGUCAAUUUCUGUUUCGUCAUCCGAGUUCACCGUCUUUGCGUGUGGUUGUGAAGUCACUGCUUUCUUGUCCAUUCCGUCCUUGUUCGCUGCAUCGCAGAAGCUUGCCAAGAACUCACGUUACCCUUUGCAUUUCGAAAAGUCGGAGAGACUCAUUUUUUCUUACAUCUAGUCAAUCUAUCCAAACAGACGUACAAGUUCGAAGUUUCAUGAAGAUUGAAAAGGCCGAAAGUCGAUUAGAAGAUCCUAUUAAAUUUAUUAUGUUGUAUGCAUUUCGGGCAUAAGCCUUGUCGCCAAAUAAUAUUAUUUUGUAUUUAUUAUUUGUUUAAAC